rnacentral:rRNA from 1 species
CCUACGGGUGGCUGCAGUGGGGAAUAUUGGACAAUGGGCGAAAGCCUGAUCCAGCCAUGCCGCGUGUGUGAAGAAGGCCUUCGGGUUGUAAAGCACUUUCAGUGGGGAAGAAAGCCUUGGGGCUAAUACCCUCGAGGAAGGACAUCACCCACAGAAGAAGCACCGGCUAACUCCGUGCCAGCAGCCGCGGUAAUACGGAGGGUGCGGGCGUUAAUCGGAAUUACUGGGCGUAAAGCGCGCGUAGGCGGUCUGAUAAGCCGGUUGUGAAAGCCCCGGGCUCAACCUGGGAACGGCAUCCGGAACUGUCAGGCUAGAGUGCAGGAGAGGAAGGUAGAAUUCCCGGUGUAGCGGUGAAAUGCGUAGAGAUCGGGAGGAAUACCAGUGGCGAAGGCGGCCUUCUGGACUGACACUGACGCUGAGGUGCGAAAGCGUGGGUAGCAAACAGGAUUAGAUACCCUUGUAGUC